GGGAGAAGGGCUGAGGGGGUAGGGGUAUAAAAAUCAGAUAGCUCAGCGCUUGGCUCAAAGGAGCUGAAGGAGAGAGGAUUCCACUGCGUGUACGUUUUCUCUUUCACGUCUCACUUUGUUCUCUGCCAUCAGGAAAUACAGUAGACAUUUGUCACCAGCAACUCUUUGGAGCCUUCAAUGUUCCUUCCUCCCAGGAUUUGAAAGGGGACUUCAGACACGGAGAAUCAAAGAUACCAGGAGCUCAGAAGAAUGGAGUCUCAAGACAUCAGGCAAAUACCGAAGAGAUCAGAGCCAAGUUCUAAAGGGCAGCCAUUUCCCAAAUGUCAACCAAGAGCAAAGCCAAGAGAAUUAUUAUUUCCUGGCUGCACAAUCACAGGAAAAGCCUGAUCAAAGCUGGAGUGCAAGUUAAAAAGUGUAAGGUACUCAAGUGCUAGGGUCUGUGUCCAAGCCCAAUCAAUGGAUCAUUAGUUGUUUUUAACUUCCACAUUUCUUUUGCAACAGCACCUCUUCCUUAAGUAGCAAUCUUAUCAGACUGCCACCUUACCUGAUGUGUCCCAUUGUCCAAGGACAAUAAAGACUCUGCACUGUCUGCCGUUACCUAAGAAAGAUUGGAAUUGACACAGACAUCACAGUUACAUACAAAAUAGGAAUUGUUGGAUCAUGGAGACACACAUUCUGGUGUUUGCCAGAUUGGCACAUGACAUAAUCUGGUUUCUUUAUAGACCCAGUUGUUUUGGGUCGGUCUAAAUUAUCAAGAGAAGAGACUUCAUCUUUAGUUUGAUCUUGUACCCACCACCAGAACCCUUGCUUCUGAGCAGGGAGCAGCUGAGGAACAGGCUCUUUCUCUGAAUGACUUUCAACAUAAUUCUCUCAAACCUUACUCCUCCAGAAGGCCACCCUCAUCCUGGCUAUGGCUACUUCAGAAUAAACUUGGCAGAAUCAUCUGUUCACAUUCUAUUUCAAACCAAAUUCAGUAUCUCAAAGCCUUGUUCUGUGAUUUGUUUGGACCUUGGGGGCUCUGACUGAAAAUGCUGAAAUGCCAUACUGACACUUCAGACUUAUAGCUACCUGGCCUCCAAGUAAGAUUUAUCUCCAACUAGAGGGGUUUCUCCUAUUAAAAAUCAAACAGUGUAUGGUGUCUUCACCUGCUAGGUAAUAUUCUAUGCCCUAAUGGGAAGAAUGGGGGCAGCAGACCAGUGAGUGCAGGAAGGAGAAGCAAAGCUGUGUCCAUGCCCUUGAGAAAAGACAAAUUGGACCAGACAAGUUCAGUGGAAACUUUCUAACGAAUCCAUCAACUUCAGCUUGUCUAAGCAAAGUCAUAGCUAGAAGAGUACUGAAAUAGGAGAACCACGUACAGGGGUUCAGGGGUGAUUCCUCUGAAAUCGCAGCUGGAAGCGUUUUGUAACGGUUCCGGUAUUAUAUCCUGGAGGCUGUCACUCUUUCUUCUAAUCACCCUUAGCAGAUGCCACAGGAUUCCUAUUUCUGAAAGUUUUCAGGCCCCUCAUAUGGAAGACCAAAGAAGCCAUUAAUGUUUAAGGCUACAUUUUAUUCCAUCCACAAAUUUGGUAAAAGAGGAAAUGUUUACAAUUCUGCCAUCCCAUGAAUAGGAGUUUUCCAUCAGGUAUACACUGGUGUUAGCAAGGUAUGAAUACUUGUCCACUAAAAAGGCUGUUUGGUACUGCUGAUACAUAUCCCAAUGCAAUGCCGGGCUCAAAAAGUUCUUCGGUGAUUGCUUUUGAUAACACUGAAUGGCUAAAGGUCUUCUUUCACUUCCUCCCCCACCUCAAAUCCUGGCUCUGGAAUUUGAGGCUGUGCCCUUACAUGCCUCCAAGGCACCUAGCUCCAACAAAGAAAAAUGGAGAGUCUGCACUGCUCGUUAGUUGACCCAACACUCAGCCCACAUUGGAGGGGAAGCGGGUUGGGCUAAGGAUGUCUUCUUCCUGCUCAGGACACAUUAUGGUCAAGGAUGAAAGGAAAGAGAUGCUGGGAACAAGUUUGCAUUGAAGAUGUAUUUCUGUUGCUUUGCUACCAACCCUGGUUAUAAAUGAUGGAAUUAAUAUGGGUCUGUAAUAGCUACUUUCCCAUAUAGCUGUUGGAUAUACAUACAUAAAAUUAAAAAUAAUAGAAUACUUCCAUUACUAACA